GUAGGAUGGACUUUUCACACGAGCUAAGAAUAAAAGGGUUAGAAAACCCUAGAGACCUCACAACUCUCCUCUUUCCUCUCCCAGCCGCGUCGCACUCUCUCUCUCCCCGAACUCUCACUCUCUCGUCCUCCCUCUCUGCCAUCGCCGGAAACACAGCGUGCGGCCACCAUCUCACAAAACCACCACCACCAAUCGACUCAAUACCUAAAUCCGAACCAAACCCAAGAGGAAUCGAGGCCAUGCAUCAACCUCGACCUCUCGCCCUCUCUCUUCUUCUUCCCUCCGCAACCACCGGAAAACACCAGUUCCGGCCACCACCCAUUAACACCGCCUCCACCCUUCGAACCAGCACUCAAGUCCGAUCAGAGCCCAGCCAUUCCACCACAGAUCGAAAGCUACGACGCCACUGACCUCCUCUUUCGUCGACCUCUAAUCAUCACCUCGCCACACUGACACCACCGUCCGACUCAGUGGACAAGGAAGAGCGAAACCCGUGAGCAUCAUCACUCGUCGAUGUCGGGAGACCGCCGUACCAGCAUCGUCGGAGGCCUCGGCCCUGCAUGCCCUCGUUCUCUACUCUCCAGCUCGGAUCGAGCUAAACAACCUCCGUAGCUGGAAUCAAGGCUUCACGAUGCAUCAAAGCCAUAGACCCUCAGCCUCCGAUUUCGGCCAGAGCCCCCGCACGCGUCUCACGCGCCACCGCUGGCACGUGAGCCAACCUAGCGUCACCGUGAGCACCACCAGCUUAUUCUCUUCGUUCGGUAAGCUGGAUUCUAUCCCUUCCUCUUAGUGAGGCUUCUACUUUGAUCUAGAUUGAGAACCCUAACUCGAUUUCUUAAUUUGAAAUCUGUGAGGAUUUUGGAAUAUGUGUUCUGGAGGUUUUGGAGGAAGGGAGGUCUGCAAAAUUGUAAGCUUUCGGAGAAGGGAAGUGCGGGGUCAGUUCCAUUUGUAUUGAGGAAUUGGGAAUCUGAAUGGAUUGAUGGUGGUGGAAAAAGCAGCUGGCUUGAAUCGAAUCCAUGUUUGGAAAAGAAGAAAUGGACCCGAGCGUGUGCAUUUGGAAGUGGACAAAGUGUUGAAAGUCGAGAACGAACCCGAAUGUGGGCAAGCACUCCAAUUCCAGUGUGCAGGUUUCGAGCAUGUGGUCGGGAAGCGUACAGGGGAGGCACAUGGCACGGCUUGGCGCAUUUCUCUUUAGUUUUAUCAAAAGAAGGUUUUAGUCCUUGAUCGGAUUUUGUAGUAGCUUGUUUAUUUACUUUUUAUUUAUUUCCUACUCGUUUACGAAAAUUCCGGGAGACCCGUAACCCUGGGGCGCGUCUCCCUUACUUGUCGUUACUUAGAGAUCAGUUUUAUUUUCCAAAUUGGGCUCCGAUCGCAAGCCCAAAACUCUUAGCCCAUUUCGAAUUCCGCUUUUGAAAA